GGGGGUGAAUUAGAUUCGACACAGGGAUGAAGGCGCAUCAAUAGCGGGUCGAGGUCCUGCGCCUCGUUAAACUGCAGGAAAGCGAUAAACGCCAACGAUAAUUACGCACUCGCUGCUGCGUAAGACAGCAGCCGCUCCCCAGCUUCUCGCUCGUGGAAGCUGGUGCGGGUGUCAACUUAGCGAGCUACCCGGCCGGCAACGCCCAUAACCGUCUGGGGAAACUGAUGGGCUAGUCCUGAGGAGAUCCUGCCCUUGGGAGCCCCGAAGGACGAAGCACAAUACAAGGGAUACACCCGUAGAAGUUGGUGUGACUUUCCUUGUGGACAGCGGUGCAAUUCCGCUCACCUCCACCA
rnacentral:tmRNA from 1 species